rnacentral:misc_RNA from 1 species
GUGGCCUGUAUUGUAUGAA